rnacentral:rRNA from 1 species
GUGGGGAAUCUUCCGCAAUGGACGAAAGUCUGACGGAGCAACGCCGCGUGAGUGAAGAAGGUCUUCGGAUCGUAAAGCUCUGUUGUACGGGACGAAUGUUGAAGGCGUGAAUAAUGCCAUCAAAUGACGGUACUGUACGAGGAAGCCACGGCUAACUACGUGCCAGCAGCCGCGGUAAUACGUAGGUGGCGAGCGUUGUCCGGAAUUAUUGGGCGUAAAGGGAGCGCAGGUGGGAAGGUAAGUCUGUUUUAAAAGCGUCGGGCUAAACCCGAUGAGGGAACAGAAACUAUUUUUCUUGAGUGCAGGAGAGGAAAGCGGAAUUCCUAGUGUAGCGGUGAAAUGCGUAGAUAUUAGGAGGAACACCAGUGGCGAAGGCGGCUUUCUGGACGGUGUCUGACACUGAGGCGCGAAAGCCAGGGGAGCGAACGGGAUUAGAUACCCGAGUAGUCC